GGAGGCUGAGGCAGGAGAAUGGCGCGAACCCGGGAGGUGGAGCUUGCAGUGAGCCGAGAUUGUGCCACUGCACUCCAGUCUGGGUGACAGAACGAGACUCCGUCUCAAAAAAACAAAACAAAACAAAACAAAAAGAUAUGAUCACUGGGGGAAGCAUGCUCCUGGGAACUCUCUGUAAUUUUUUUUUUUUUCAAGUCGGAGUAUCGUACUGUCACCCGGGCUGGAGUGCAAUGGCAAGAUCUCAGCUCACUGCAACCUCUGCCUCCCAGGUUCAAGGGUUCAAGUGAUCUUCCCACCUCAGCCUCCUGAGCAGCUGGGACUACAGGCAUGCACCACCACACCUGGCUUUUUUAAAUUUUCUGUAGAGACAAGGGUCUUGCUAUAUUGCCCAGGCUAAUCUUGGACUCCAGGCCCUCAAUCGAUCCUCCUGCCUCAGCCUCCGUAAGUGCUGGGACAACAGGCGUGAGCCACCUUGCCUGGCCCUCAACAUCAUUUUUACCAGCUGCAUAAUACUCCACCAAGUAGAAGAUUCCUCCUUCAGGUUGCAGUGAGCUAAGAUUGUGCCACUGCACUCCAGCCUGGGCAACAGAGUGAGACUCUGUCUCAUAAAAGAAAAAAAAAAAAAAAAAGAAGACGACUCCUCUUUCCUUCUUCUCUAACAGGAUACUUAGGUAUCUGCAGAACUAUACUCUUCUAUUACCACAACAAAAAUGGCCACUGUCAAGACUUUUAAUCUAAACCAGGGGUUGGGAACGUUUUCUGCAAAGGAUCAGAUAACACUUUCGGCUUUGCAGGCUGGAUGGUCUCUGCCGCAGCCACGGCAAUUCAGUUCUGCUGCUGGGAAAGCCACCGUGGACUGUGCAUAAAUGAAUGUGGCCCAGUGCCAAUAAAACUUUAUCAACAAAAACAGGUGGCCCCUGGCCAGUGUUAGCCAACUCUGCAUCUGGAAUUCCACUGAUCUGGCUGUGUAGGAUGAAACUUUUUUUUUUUGAGAUGGACAUUUGCUCUUGUUGCCCAGGCUGGAGUGCAAUGGUGUGACCUCAGCUCACCACAACCUCCGCCUUCCGGGUUCAAGUGAUUCUCCUGCCUCAGCCUCCCAAGUUGCUGGAAUUACAGGCACCUGCCACCGCGCCCGGCUAACUUUUUCUAUUUUUUUAGUAAAGACAGGCUUUCGCCAGGUUGGCCAGGCUGGUCUCGAACUCCUGACCUCAGGGGACCCACCCGCCUCAGCCUCCUUUACUAUAGCUUGAAACCACAGCACCAAACUGUUUUUGUUGGGGCUGGGCCAGGACACACCUGCCUGUUCUCUGCGGCCCUGGGCUCUGGCCUCCCUUCUCAGCCCUGCUCCCCCAGUAGCUGAUGACAGCCCCGGGCAAGCCCCUCAGCUGGCUUCUCCAGUUCCUCUUUCUCCUCACUCUCCACAGCGGCAACUCCCAUCUUUCCCCACCACAGGUCCCACCACAGAGCUCCGGGUUCCUGCUCUGAGUUCGCUGCCAGGGCCCCCGUUCACGGGGCUGGAGGAAAGGCGUGUGCCCCUUCUCCGUAAGGACACCGCCGACGCACCCACGCCGCCCACUCGAGAUGUGAUGCUGAGAAUGUCCUUGGCAGGUAGAGAACUGAACAGAUGCCCGUGUGUUUCAUAAACCCCGAGCCCCUGAGGAUCGGAAAGGCUCCUCCUGAGUCCGUGGUUCUGGUCUUUCGUGUGCACAGAGCCAGCAGCUGGGAGGGGGGACAGGCGGCUGCAAAAAUGCAGAGUCCCAGGUCCCAGCCCGGAGGUGGUGAUGUAGCAGCCCAGAGCACACCUUCAGCAGC
rnacentral:lncRNA from 10 species